rnacentral:rRNA from 1 species
CCUACGGGAGGCAGCAGUGAGGAAUAUUGGUCAAUGGACGAGAGUCUGAACCAGCCAAGUCGCGUGAAGGAUGAAUGCUCUAUGGGUCGUAAACUUCUUUUAUAUGGGAAUAAAAUGUUCCACGUGUCGGAUUUUGUAUGUACCAUAUGAAUAAGGAUCGGCUAACUCCGUGCCAGCAGCCGCGGUAAUACGGAGGAUCCGAGCGUUAUCCGGAUUUAUUGGGUUUAAAGGGUGCGUAGGCGGCUUUUUAAGUCAGCGGUGAAAGUUUGUGGCUCAACCAUAGAAUUGCAGUUGAAACUGGGGGGCUUGAGUAUGUUUGAGGCAGGCGGAAUGCGUGGUGUAGCGGUGAAAUGCUUAGAUAUCACGCAGAACCCCGAUUGCGAAGGCAGCCUGCUAGGCUAUGACUGACGCUGAUGCACGAAAGUGUGGGUAUCAAACAGGAUUAGAUACCCCGGUAGUC